rnacentral:rRNA from 1 species
GACAGAGGUGCCAAGCGUUAGGCGGAAUCACUGGGCUUAAAGCGUGUGUAGGCGGAUCGUUAAGUACCUUGUGAAAUCCCACGGCUCAACCGUGGAACUGCUCGGUAUACUGGCGGUCUUGAGCCACCUAGGGGCAACUGGAACAAGCGGUGGAGCGGUGAAAUGCGUAGAUAUCGCUUGGAACGCCAACGGUGAAAACAGGUUGCUGGGGGUGUGCUGACGCUGAGACGCGAAAGCGUGGGGAGCGAACAGG